AUACAGAGGGUGCGAGCGUUAAUCGGAAUUACUGGGCGUAAAGCGCGCGUAGGCGGCUUAUUAAGUCAGAUGUGAAAUCCCCGGGCUCAACCUGGGAACUGCAUCUGAUACUGGUAAGCUAGAGUUUUGGAGAGGGAAGUAGAAUUUCAGGUGUAGCGGUGAAAUGCCUAGAGAGCUGAAGGAAUACCAGUGGCGAAGGCGACUUCCUGGCCAAAAACUGACGCUGAGGUGCGAAAGCGUGGGUAGCAAACGGGAUUAGAAACCCUAGUAGUCC
rnacentral:rRNA from 1 species